GACUCAUCGCAUCCUGGGGCUGUAGCAGGUCCCAAGGGUUGGUCUGUUCGCCCAUUAAAGCGGUACGUGAGUUGGGUUUAAAACGUCGCGAGACAGUUUGGUCCCUAUCCGUCGUGGGCGUUGGAAAUUUGAGGGAUGUCGCUCCCAGUACGAGAGGACCGGAGUGAACGAACCUCUGGUGUUCCGGUUGUCACGCCAGUGGCAUAGCCGGGUAGCCAAGUUCGGCAUGGAUAACCGCUGAAAGCAUAUAAGCGGGAAACCGUUCCCAAGAUAAGAUUUCCCUAAAGGCUCCUCGAAGACUACGAGGUUGAUAGGCCAGAGGUGGACGCGCCGUAAGGCGUGGAGCUGACUGGUACUAAUAGGCCGUUCGGCUUGACUUUA
rnacentral:rRNA from 1 species